UGGGGAAUUUUGGACAAUGGACGCAAGUCUGAUCCAGCCAUGCCGCGUGCGGGAAGAAGGCCUUCGGGUUGUAAACCGCUUUUGUCAGGGAAGAAACGAGUUUCUCUAAUACAGAGACUUAAUGACGGUACCUGAAGAAUAAGCACCGGCUAACUACGUGCCAGCAGCCGCGGUAAUACGUAGGGUGCAAGCGUUAAUCGGAAUCACUGGGCGUAAAGCGUGCGCAGGCGGUUAUGUAAGACAGAUGUGAAAUCCCCGGGCUCAACCUGGGACCUGCAUUUGUGACUGCAUAGCUAAAGUACGGUAGAGGGGGAUGGAAUUCCGCGUGUAGCAGUGAAAUGCGUAGAUAUGCGGAGGAACACCGAUGGCGAAGGCAAUCCCCUGGACCUGUACUGACGCUCAUGCACGAAAGCGUGGGGAGCAAACA
rnacentral:rRNA from 1 species